GACGAACGCUGGCGGCGUGCUUAACACAUGCAAGUCGAACGGAAAGGCCCUGCUUUUGUGGGGUGCUCGAGUGGCGAACGGGUGAGUAACACGUGAGUAACCUGCCCUUGACUUUGGGAUAACUUCAGGAAACUGGGGCUAAUACCGGAUAGGAGCUCCUGCUGCAUGGUGGGGGUUGGAAAGUUUCGGCGGUUGGGGAUGGACUCGCGGCUUAUCAGCUUGUUGGUGGGGUAGUGGCUUACCAAGGCCUUGACGGGUAGCCGGCCUGAGAGGGUGACCGGCCACAUUGGGACUGAGAUACGGCCCAGACUCCUACGGGAGGCAGCAGUGGAGAAUAUUGCACAAUGGGCGGAAGCCUGAUGCAGCAACGCCGCGUGCGGGAUGACGGCCUUCGGGUUGUAAACCGCUUUCGCCUGUGACGAGGCGUGAGUGACGGUAAUGGGUAAAGAAGCACCGGCUAACUACGUG
rnacentral:rRNA from 1 species